CGCACAUUGCGCCCGCUGGAACUCCGGCGGGCAUGCCUGUCCGAGCGUCAUUUCAACCCCUCAGGCCCCCCUUCCGGGGGCGGGCCUGGUGUUGGGGCCCGGCCGCUACCCCGCGGCCGUCCCCUAAAUGCAGUGGCGGCCUCGCCGUGAACCUUUGCGUAGUACUUUACCUCGCACCGGAGAUCGACGCGGCCACGCCGUAAAACCCCCAAUUUUACUGGUUGACCUCGGAUCAGGUAGGAAUACCCGCUGAACUUAA
rnacentral:misc_RNA from 1 species